rnacentral:rRNA from 1 species
GACGAACGCUGGCGGCGUGCUUAACACAUGCAAGUCAAACGGAAAGGCCCUGCUUUUGUGGGGUGCUCGAGUGGCGAACGGGUGAGUAACACGUGAGUAACCUGCCCUUGACUUUGGGAUAACUUCAGGAAACUGGGGCUAAUACCGGAUAGGAGCUCCUGCUGCAUGGUGGGGGUUGGAAAGUUUCGGCGGUUGGGGAUGGACUCGCGGCUUAUCAGCUUGUUGGUGGGGUAGUGGCUUACCAAGGCUUUGACGGGUAGCCGGCCUGGGAGGGUGACCGGCCACAUUGGGACUGAGGUACGGCCCAGUCUCCUACGGGAGGCAGCAGUGGGGAAUAUUGCGCAAUGGGCGGAAGCCUGAUGCAGCAACGCCGCGUGCGGGAUGACGGCCUUCUGGUUGUGAACCGCUUUCGCCUGUGACGAAGCGGGAGUGACGGUAAUGGGUAAAGAAGCACCGGCUAACUACGUG